UACAAAACAGAGUACCCGUACUCUACAACCCUUUGUGAACAUACCAAACGUCAGUUGCCUCGGCGGGAGGCCCCUGGGAGGGGCCCCGGGGCCCGGCCUGAGCCGGGCUCCCGCCGGGGGGGCGCAACCAAAACUUUUGCUGUACCAACAGUGGCAACUCCGAGUAAAAAACAAAAAAACAAGUUAAAACUUUCAACAACGGAUCUCUUGGUUCUGGCAUCGAUGAAGAACGCAGCGAAAUGCGAUAAGUAAUGUGAAUUGCAGAAUUCAGUGAAUCAUCGAAUCUUUGAACGCACAUUGCGCCCGCCAGUAUUCUGGCGGGCAUGCCUGUUCGAGCGUCAUUUCAACCCCUCGGGCCCUGGUGCCCGGCGUCGGGGCGUUCCCCCCCCAGCGGGGGGAACCCCUCAGAGAGAGUGGCGGACCCGCCGCGGCUCCGAGCGCAGUAGUAAAAUUCUCGCUAUGGAGGUCCGCGGGGGGGCUCCCGGCCGUAAAGCCCGGUCUCCGGACCAUCUACACAAGGUUGACCUCGGAUCAGGUAGGAAUACCCGCUGAACUUAAGCAUAUCAAUAAGCGGAGGAAAAGAAACCAACAGGGAUUGCCCCAGUAACGGCGAGUGAAGCGGCAACAGCUCAG
rnacentral:rRNA from 1 species